ACGCUGGCGGCGUGCCUAACACAUGCAAGUCGAGCGGUAACAGGUGUAGCAAUACAUGCUGACGAGCGGCGAACGGGUGAGUAAUGCUUCGGAAUCUGCCCAAUGGUGGGGAAUAACCAGCCGAAAGGUUGGCUAAUACCGCAUAAGUCCUACGGGGGAAAGCAGGGGAUCGCAAGACCUUGCGCCGAUGGAUGAGCCGAAGUCGGAUUAGCUAGUUGGUAGGGUAACGGCCUACCAAGGCGACGAUCCGUAGCUGGUCUGAGAGGACGACCAGCCACACUGGGACUGAGACACGGCCCAGACUCCUACGGGAGGCAGCAGUGGGGAAUAUUGGACAAUGGGGGAAACCCUGAUCCAGCGACGCCGCGUGUGUGAAGAAGGCCUGCGGGUUGUAAAGCACUUUUAGUGGGGAUGAAAAGCUCAGGGCUAACACCUCUGGGUCUUGACCUAACCCACAGAAAAAGCACCGGCUAACUCUGUGCCA
rnacentral:rRNA from 1 species